ACAAGAUGGCCGCCGACAUCUCCUUUCCAGGCAAACGCACUAUUUUACCGUUUUCUCUACUUGUAAAGCCUGACGGAGGUGUCUGAGGCAGUAUAUCAUGUGGUAAUGGUUCUCCACGCCUUUAGAAACCCACAGUAACCGCCGGAGACCAAGAGAACACGGAGAAAACAGGGAGUGGAGAUUGUGGGCGGAUUUUUCGUGUUUAUAAGUGUGUGUCAGGCACGUCACUCAUGGCUGUGCUUCAUGGCGUGUGUGCGUGUGUGAAGGCUUGUGUGCGUGUUUUGGAGGGCGUGUGUGCGUGUGUGCAAAACUCUAGAAUGACACCCGCACUGCCUUACCCAACGGCCCUUUCCCUCACACACACACACACACACACACAGUCUUGUUUCCAUGUGUACAGUAUGAUAUAUAGUGUCCCUGUCUUUCCUUACAACCACACAGUUACACUACUAAACAUUUCAACGUCACUUAUUUUGUUCGGCAGGCUCAAACUCCAUCCUGGAGCUCCAGAAGAGGCCCUCUGGACUGGGGCCCAAGCAGCGGUGGACUCUCAACAACAACAACAACAACUCCGUCAAGUAACCCAAGAGAGGAGGAAGAGCAUGGACAAUUUACAACAAUAUGCACAGACAACAAGAAGAAGAAGAAGGAGAAGAAGAGUAAGAAGAUGAGGAGGAGGAAGAGAAUGGAAGGGAAGGACCAGCACACACUAUUGCUCCCACCAUGGAGGCUUAAUGUGUGGAAAUGGUUCCAGCUUAGCUAUCAGUAAACAACACCGUCACAAUGGAUAAGACACGGCCCGAAGCAUGACCUCUCACCCGGGUAGCCACCAGGUUUUGACAGCACGAGAAUGACAGGUUGAUGUCAAGGCAGUGAAUGGCAUCAUGUCCACUCCACCAACUA